rnacentral:rRNA from 1 species
ACGGGUGAGUAAAGCGUAGGAAUCUGCCUAAUAGACUGGGACAACUUGGGGAAACUCGAGCUAAUACCGGAUAAUCUCUAAGGAGGAAAGUAUGGGACUUGAAAGAGCCAUACGCUAAUAGAUGAGCCUAUGUCGGAUUAGCUAGUUGGUGGGGUAAAGGCCUACCAAGGCGAUGAUCUGUAGCUGGUCUGAGAGGAUGGACAGCCACACUGGGACUGAGACACGGCCCAGACUCCUACGGGAGGCAGCAGUGGGGAAUAUUGGACAAUGGGGGCAACCCUGAUCCAGCGAUGCCGCGUGUGCGAAGAAGGCCUGCGGGUUGUAAAGCACUUUGGUUGGGGAAGAAGGCUGGGGGUUGAAUAGAUCUCCAGAUUGACGUUACCCAAAGAACAAGCACCGGCUAACUCUGUGCCAGCAGCCGCGGUAAUACAGAGGGUGCGAGCGUUAAUCGGAAUUACUGGGCGUAAAGGGUGCGUAGGCGGUUGAAUAAGUUAGAUGUGAAAUCCCCGGGCUUAACCUGGGAAUUGCAUUUAAGACUGUACAGCUAGAGUAGAGUAGAGGGAAGUGGAAUUUCCGGUGU